UACGGAGGGGGCGAGCGUUAUUCGGAAUUAUUGGGCGUAAAGGGCGCGUAGGCGGCUGUACAAGUCAAAGGUGAAAUCCCUCGGCUCAACUGAGGAACUGCCUUUGAAACUGUACGCUUGAGGCCGGGAGGGGGUAGCGGAAUUCCCAGUGUAGCGGUGAAAUGCGUAGAUACUGGGAGGAACACCAGUGGCGAAGGCGGCUCACUGGACCGGUACUGACGCUGAUGCGCGAAAGCGUGGGGAGCAACAGGG
rnacentral:rRNA from 1 species